UACGUAGGGGGCUAGCGUUGUCCGGAAUCAUUGGGCGUAAAGAGCGUGUAGGCGGUCCGGCAAGUCCGCUGUGAAAGUCGGGGGCUCAACCCUCGAAUGCCGGUGGAUACUGUCGGGCUAGAGUGCGGAAGAGGCGAGUGGAAUUCCUGGUGUAGCGGUGAAAUGCGCAGAUAUCAGGAGGAACACCUAUUGCGAAGGCAGCUCGCUGGGGCGUAACUGACGCUGAGACGCGAAAGCGUGGGGAGCAAACAGG
rnacentral:rRNA from 1 species